AUACCUUUCUCGGCCUUUUGGAUAUGAUCAAGUGUAGUAUCUAUUUUUAUUAGUUUAAUAUCUAAUACGUGGGCCAUUGGCUCAUAUGAUCUUAAAUUAUUUAUUUCGGGGGAAGACGGUCACGGUAGCUUGCUUUUGGGGUCUUCGAGUGUCGCCCUUGUGUUGUUGUACUUCUGCUAGGGCCAGGCGCACCCAUU